rnacentral:tRNA from 1 species
GUGCUAGGGACUGAAGCCAGAACCUUCCUCAUGCAAAGCGAACAUUCCACUAUUCACUUACAUCCC